rnacentral:rRNA from 1 species
CUCCUGCCGGCGACCGGCGCACGGGUGAGUAACACGUAUGCAACCUGCCCCUGUCAGGGGGACAACCCGCCGAAAGGCGGGCUAAACCCGCGUACAUGCCACCGGGGCAUCCCGGAGGCAGGAAAGGCUUCGGCCGGACAGGGAUGGGCAUGCGGCGCAUUAGGCAGUAGGCGGGGUAACGGCCCACCUAACCGACGAUGCGUAGGGGUUCUGAGAGGAAGGUCCCCCACACUGGUACUGAGACACGGACCAGACUCCUACGGAAGGCAGCAG